GCCUCGGUGGCGCAAUCGAUUAGCGCGUUCAAAUUUUUAACCGAAAGUUUGAAGGUUUGAGUCCUUCCCGGGGCG